GAGAGAGCUGCUCUUGGAGAAUUCACCUAGAAGGAGACCUUAGCUUUGGAACUUGCUCCCCGUGGCCCCUUCUCAGUAGUUCAAAUCUGUUGCCCUACAGGGGUGCACUACAAACUUGUCUACUCCCCAGGUUUUGAGAGCGGGAAAGGCAGACAUCUUUGAGAUGCUGAGGGAUAUUUUGGUGGCAGUAUUCGUCCUAUUGAAGACACUUCCCGGAUGGAGGUACAGACAUGGACAGCCAGGACCCAGCGGAUGCUUCUCAUGCCUGUUGAGAUAACUGCAGAUUCCCCAUAUGUAGAUUGGUGCUUCUGGAGCAGGGCCAUGAUCCCAGACCAGUGGAAUCACAUUGUCAUGCAGACUUGGGAUGACCGUCAGUGGCUGCAGAACUUUCACAUGAAGAGCUGGUGACAGGAGAUCGUCCAUAGUUUUGAACUGAGAUUGGGAGAAGUUUCCACGCUGAGCUGAACUAUUCACCCACCUUGUCUGUUUGGUUGGAAAUGGCAUAAAAUCAGUUCUCUUGGGUAUUUUCUUCUGUUCCCAGCCUGAACCAGGAAUCUUGAUGUAAUGAAAAGUAGUGAGGAAAUAAAAAGGUAACUGAAUAUUUCUGACCAUUGGAAAGGUUCAACGUGGGUGUCAUAACAUACUAGUGAAGGACUCUAAUGGUGCAGGUAAAAAGGCAGUGGAUGUAUAUGGGAGGCUGCACUAUCUAGGUAGGAAGGGCUGGCUCUGGCACCCAAGUCUCAGGCACUUGCCAUUGGUAAAUCACCGGUCAGUCCUUUGUUUUUUCAUUCUGUACAAUAUGUAAUACUUAGCUAUCCCCCCGAAAGGCUAAGCCUGAUCCAAGAUCCGCUGAAGUCAAUGGGAGUCUUUCAAUGGAUUGUAGUUCAGGCCCUUAAUGAAUUAGUAUUUACGAAGCACUGUGAGACCCUUGCUGGCACUACACAAAUAAUACAUAAUGUCAAUAGUAAUUAUAGAUUACAGUGAUGGGCACCACAAAAAUACCUAAGGUAGAUAGGCCUUUUAUCUUAUGGACAUAAGAGCUAUGUAUUCUUGUUGUUUUCUUACAUAAACAAUAGCUGCCAUUCAGUCUGAAAAUAUCUUACUUUACUUUGCUUCUUAAUACCUAAAAACAAUCAGGACAGAUCCUCAGCAGGUGUAAAUUGACAUACACCCAUCUGGCACCAGGGUCUAUACUAUCCAGAAGGUUCCUAAAAAAUUAAGCCAUUUUUAGUUAGAUAAGAGCAGGUGUGUAGGGAGGAGUACACAAAAUUACUUUAAAAAACCCCUCUCUUUGAGCUGUUUUACUUUAUUGCUUUUAAAGUAAUCUUUUAGUCAAAACAAUUGUAUCCAAGCUUAAAAAUUCACAUGCCAAGUUACAGCUGGAUGAAAUGCAAACUGAUUGAAUUAUAAACCUAUAGAAAACUGAUUUUAUUAUGGAAAUGUAAACUGUCCCCUAAGCAUAGUAUGGGGAGAUGAUGCUAUAACAACAUGCCAGUAAGUAAUAAACAACCCCCAAUAUUACAUCGCGUGACUACAUACAGCUAGAAAUGUAUCUGUUUGGGUGUUGAAUUAUCCCCAAAUUUGAAUUAUGGGCAUAAAAUUCAAAUUAUCCCUUUCUAGUAGUAUAAAGCCUGACAGACAUAUUUUUUUAAUAAACCUCUUGUGCUGCUUUGCAUUAUGUCACAUCCUCCAGCGUUAAAGCUGCAGUUUUCCUACCAUGAUUCAUCAGAAAUCAAGGGGGGGGGGGGCGGGAAAGUAGUUGAGAUCUGAUAU